rnacentral:rRNA from 1 species
GUUUUAGUAGAGAGGGGGGUAGAAUUGCAGGGUGUAGCGGGGGAAAUGGGUAGAAGAUCUGAAGGAAUACCGGGUGGGCGAAAGGCGGCCCCCUUGGACGAAGAGUGAACGGUUCAGGUGCGAAAGCGUGGGGAACAAAACAGGAUUAGAUACCCUGGUAGUGCACACCGUAAACGAUGUCGACUUGGAGAUUGUGCCCUUGAGGCGUGGCUUCCGGAGCUAACGCGUUAAGUCGACCGCCUGGGGAGUACGGCCGCAAGGUUAAAACUCAAAUGAAUUGACGGGGGCCCGCACAAGCGGUGGAGCAUGUGGUUUAAUUCGAUGCAACGCGAAGAACCUUACCUGGUCUUGACAUCCACAGAACUUUCCAGAGAUGGAUUGGUGCCUUCGGGAACUGUGAGACAGGUGCUGCAUGGCUGUCGUCAGCUCGUGUUGUGAAAUGUUGGGUUAAGUCCCGCAACGAGCGCAACCCUUAUCCUUUGUUGCCAGCGGUCCGGCCGGGAACUCAAAGGAGACUGCCAGUGAUAAACUGGAGGAAGGUGGGGAUGACGUCAAGUCAUCAUGGCCCUUACGACCAGGGCUACACACGUGCUACAAUGGCGCAUACAAAGAGAAGCGACCUCGCGAGAGCAAGCGGACCUCAUAAAGUGCGUCGUAGUCCGGAUUGGAGUCUGCAACUCGACUCCAUGAAGUCGGAAUCGCUAGUAAUCGUGGAUCAGAAUGCCACGGUGAAUACGUUCCCGGGCCUUGUACACACCGCCCGUCACGCCAUGGGAGUGGGUUGCAAAAGAAGUAGGUAGCUUAACCUUCGGGAGGGCGCUUACCACUUUGGGAUGCCAAUCGGUG